UGCAUGGAUAUUCAAGGUGUGUUACACCCCACUGGUUCUAAAUGGAUAAAUGAAUAUUGCUACAGAUGUGUUUGUACCAGAAAAAAAAUAUCAUGCUGCAAUACAAUUCCACUGUUUCCUGAUCUCCCCAGCGACUGUAAAACUGUGGUGGAUAAAGACUGCAACUACAACCUGGUGAAGAAGAGUAAACCUGACACUGAUUGUUUCGAAAUGUCUGUUAACUAAGACAUCACUCCCUUACAAGAAAAUAUCUAGUCAUGUUAGACGUGUUUUUAGUCUUCCUUUGCUUUAGUCAUUAACAUUUCUUCUUUGCUAGUGAAAGAAGUAAAGUCGAGGCACACCUCACAAAUUAACUGUGUGUAUGGAUGGUGGUGGGAUUCUCCAGAAAUAAAAACAUUAUUUUCUGCUUUCAAA